CUCAUAUGCUUCAGGGAAGGUAAAAAGAACCUCUGCCUAAAUAAGUGUUCCUGUGUUUUGUUCCAGUAUCCUGUGAAGGGCUUCACUAGUGAUUAGGUCUUGUGAGACAUCAUGCGGAUCAGCUAUGGGAUACCUUCUUCUUUUAUGAUGAACAUUGGAGGUCUGGACUUGGGCAUACUUGUCCCCUCUAGGACGUGUGUGCUACCCAAGGUAAAACAAGAGCCUAUUCCCAAUGACUAUGGGUAAGCACCCAUUUUCAUGUCAGAUGGCUAGCACAUGAUAUGGUUUUCAGGCUUUCAGUGAUUAAUGAGAGGCAUGGAUCCUUAUUAAUAUAUAGUUUUCUACCACUACAGAUAUUUAUCCUUGGAACUUCUUUAGGUUUCUUUCAAGGGAGAAAGAUUUCUCUUACCCAUCACUGUCCUUGGAGUUCUGCAAGGACCAAGAGACCUCUUGAUAUCAGAGUGACCCCCACAAAGUACUUCAGUGGAUCCCUACAGAAACACAUGAAAAUGUGGGAUUCAGCUCAGGCAACAAACAGGGUCCCUAACACUACAUCAAUUUGAAGUAGUAAACAUAGGAGAGUGCAGGUAUCCACUUAGGAAAGACCG
rnacentral:lncRNA from 1 species